AUUGAACGCUGGCGGCAGGCUUAACACAUGCAAGUCGAGCGAGCGGCGGACGGGUGAGUAAUGUCUGGGAAACUGCCUGAUGGCGGGGGAUAACUACUGGAAACGGUAGCUAAUCCCGCAUACCAUCAGAUGUGCCCAGAUGGGAUUAGCUAGUAGGUGGGGUAAUGGCUCACCGAGGCGACGAUCCCUAGCUGGGCUGAGAGGAUGACCAGCCACACUGGAACUGAGACACGGUCCAGACGCGUACGGGAUGAAGCAGGGGGGAAUAUUGCACAAUGGGCGCAAGCCUGAUGCAGCCAUGCCGCGUGUGUGAAGAAGGCCUUCGGGUUGUAAAGGACGUUCAGCGAGGAGGCGUUACUCGCAGAAGAAGCACCGGCUAACUCCGUGCCAGCAGCCGCGGUAAUAC
rnacentral:rRNA from 1 species